GAUUGGAGUUCGGGUGGGCUUCUUGGUGACUGAUUAAUCUGUUCAGCUGCAAGGCUGAGGUUUUUCAUCUCUGCAAUAGGGGAGAUAAGACCCGCCACAUUCAUGAGGACGGAAGGAACAUAGGAAAUGAAAAAAUCAAGCGGAAGAUCUUGGAGCUCUCGGGUAUAUUGAAGAUUUUGCCCGAAAUUGAUUCUGUUUAACUGGACAUGAAGAAAAUCUGGGCCUUGAGUAGGGUAGGUUUGUAACGGAUGAGACGAACACUGCCGGCUCUUGGGAGAUUCUGGCUGUCUCAUCAAGAUGCCCC